UAAACUCAAAGGAAUUGACGGGGGCCCGCACAAGCGGCGGAGCAUGCGGAUUAAUCCGAUGCAACGCGAAGAACCUUACCAAGGCUUGACAUAGCCGAGAACGCUGUAGAGAUACAGAACUCUUUGGACACUCGGUUACAGGUGGUGCAUGGUUGUCGUCAGCUCGUGUCGUGAGAUGUUCGGUUAAGUCCGGCAACGAGCGCAACCCUCGUCCUAUGUUGCCAGCACGUUAUGGUGGGAACUCAUGGGAUACUGCCGUGGUCAACACGGAGGAAGGUGGGGAUGACGUCAAGUCAUCAUGCCCCUUAUGUCUUGGGCUUCACGCAUGCUACAAUGGCCGAUACAAAGGGCUGCGAUACCGCGAGGUGGAGCGAAUCCCAAAAAGUCGGUCUCAGUUCGGAUUGGAGUCUGCAACUCGACCCCAUGAAGUCGGAGUCGCUAGUAAUCGCAGAUCAGCAACGCUGCGGUGAAUACGUUCCCGGGCCUUGUACACACCGCCCGUCAAGUCAUGAAAGUCGGUAACACCCGAAGCCGGUGGCCUAACCCUUGUGGAGGGAGCCGUCGAAGGUGGGACUGGUGAUUAGGACU
rnacentral:rRNA from 1 species